GAUGAACGCUGGCGGCGUGCCUAAUACAUGCAAGUCGAGCGAACCCCUUCGGUGGUGAGCGGCGAACGGGUGAGUAACACGUAGGUGAUCUGCCCAUCAGACGGGGACAACGAUUGGAAACGAUCGCUAAUACCGGAUAGGACGAAAGUUUAAAGGUGCUUCUGGCACCGCUGAUGGAUGAGCCUGCGGCGCAUUAGCUAGUUGGUAGGGUAAAGGCCUACCAAGGCGACGAUGCGUAGCCGACCUGAGAGGGUGAACGGCCACACUGGGACUGAGACACGGCCCAGACUCCUACGGGAGGCAGCAGUAGGGAAUCUUCGGCAAUGGGCGAAAGCCUGACCGAGCAACGCCGCGUGAGUGAUGAAGGCCUUAGGGUUGUAAAGCUCUUUUACCAGGGAUGAUAAUGACAGUACCUGGAGAAUAAGCUCCGGCUAACUCCGUG
rnacentral:rRNA from 1 species